GAUGAACGCUAGCUACAGGCUUAACACAUGCAAGUCGAGGGGAAACGAUAUUGGAAGCUUGCUUCCGAUAGGCGUCGACCGGCGCACGGGUGAGUAACGCGUAUCCAACCUGCCCACCACUUGGGGAUAACCUUGCGAAAGUAAGACUAAUACCCAAUGAUAUCUCUAGAAGACAUCUGAAGGAGAUUAAAGAUUCAUCGGUGAUGGAUGGGGAUACGUCUGAUUAGCUUGUUGGCGGGGUAACGGCCCACCAAGGCGACGAUCAGUAGGGGUUCUGAGGGGAAGGUCCCCCACAUUGGAACUGAGACACGGUCCAAACUCCUACGGGAGGCAGCAGUGAGGAAUAUUGGUCAAUGGGCGAGAGCCUGAACCAGCCAAGUAGCGUGCAGGAUGACGGCCCUAUGGGUUGUAAACUGCUUUUAUAAGGGAAUAAAGUGAGUCUCGUGAGACUUUUUGCAUGUACCUUAUGAAUAAGGACCGGCUAAUUCCGUGCCAGCCGCCGCCGUAA
rnacentral:rRNA from 1 species